rnacentral:rRNA from 1 species
UGGGGAAUAUUGCACAAUGGGCGCAAGCCCGAUGCAGCAACGCCGCGUGGGCGAUGAAGGCCUUCGGGUCGUAAAGCCCUUUUUGAGGGGAUGAGGAAGGACAGUACCCUCAGAAUAAGCCUCGGCUAACUACGUGCCAGCAGCCGCGGUAAAACGUAGGAGGCGAGCGUUAUCCGGAUUUACUGGGCGUAAAGCGCGUGCAGGCGGAUUGGAGAGUUGGAUGUGAAAGCUCCCGGCUUAACUGGGAGAGGUCGUUCAAUACUUCCAGUCUUGAGUGCAGUAGAGGGAAGUGGAAUUCCGGGUGUAGUGGUGAAAUGCGUAGAUAUCCGGAGGAACACCAGUGGCGAAAGCGGCUUCCUGGACUGUAACUGACGCUCAGACGCGAAAGCUAGGGUAGCAAACG